AAACAAUUUAUUCUCAGGUGAAAAUGGCGGCAGUGGUUUUUACCGUUGUAUCAAUAGUACUUUAUAUCCACAGGAGUACCGGACAAAGUUACUGUAGUGACGACCAGUUCAUCUGCUGGUCCGAUUUCACCUGCCUCGACCCUAGCUACAAGUGUGACGGGAAUGUGGACUGCUACGACGCGUCAGACGAGAAGGGCUGUGGAGAUAUUCUGAGAGAGUGUCAUUGCAAAUACCAGCCUGAGUGUAGAUCAAGUGCUUCUUGUGACUUUUUCGGGUGUCAAGAUGGCUGGGAGGGCUACAGAUGUGCAUUCAAAAGAAGAGACAAGAUCGCCACUACAUUUAGUCCAACCAGCACCCAAUCACAUUUGGAUACGUCAUACGAUUGUCACUGUCUUGACCAAUCAGAAUGCAAUGAUAGAUUCUACGGCACUUCAUGUUACUGCCAGGAAGGUUGGAAGGGCAUUCGCUGCAGUGAAAAGGUUUCCUACAUAACCAGUGAGUCUUUGGGGCUGAUAGGCGGUGUAAUUAUCGUGCUCCUGGUCAUCAGUGUAGUUGGACUGCUAGCGUUCUGCGUCAAUCGUGUGUAAGUAUAACACAGCGUAUGAUUUAUUGAUUUUAGUCUGUUGACCAACACAAAAUACGUUACAUAUUUAUUACACUUUGUAACUGAACAAUAUCAAAUAAAUAUUCUAACAAAACUUACUGUAUAUUAUAACUGCCAACCGUAAAUCAUUUUGUAGAAAAAGAUGGAGAGGAUUAAGGGGGCAUGGUUUGCCCUACAGGGGACUGACGAAUUCCCAGGAGAGCAUCGAGAGGUCAUCGGUUUCCGCGAUCCCCCCGCAUUUAUCCUCGGCCCCUCCUGCCUAUGAAGAUGUCGUCAGCCAAGGAACAGGACACAAUUCUGGCAGAAAUCAGAUGGAGCCACCCCAAAAUCAUGAACAGGAUGCAACGCCCCCUUCCUAUGAGUCCAUCAUCAAAAACCAGCAGGAUCAGGAAAUCCAGCUACAGAGACAACCAGUCCCGGAAAGCACAGCCAGCGAAACGAGAGAACCAGUCCAAGAACUUACAACCAGCGAAACUAGAGAUCCCGUCCCGGAAAACACAACCAGCGAAACCAGAGAGCCGGAUUUGGAAUCAUCGGUGAUUGUUCAGAUUCAGGAUGAACGUGACACACACGAUAUUCCCGACAUAGGCAGUGACCGGGACUUGAUUAUCUCCAUCCGGUGAUGUUUUGCGACAGCAGUUUAUAUUGCAUUUUAACCUUGAUCGGUGGUAUCAAUUUAAUUGAUACUUGUUGCAUGCAUUUAUAUGAAGUUCAUUAGUUGAAACUGAUUAAAUCAGAUGUAGUGAAAAUUAUAUAACAAUGAUUGAGCACUAGACACUUACGUUAUCGCCAAAGAACAUGGAUUCAUUUAAGAUGUAUAAAGCUCAAAAGACAAAGGAUUUACUUUUUUUUAAUCCAACUUUUAUCAUUCAUAUACUUGUAUUCAAACAUUUGUUAUAUACUAUUCUAAUUUUUAUAUUCCGAAUUUAUACAACAACUGUGACUAUGCAUAAUAAAUUAAAAAUUAUUUUU
rnacentral:misc_RNA from 1 species